rnacentral:rRNA from 1 species
GACGAACGCUGGCGGCGUGCUUAACACAUGCAAGUCGAACGGUGACGAGGAGCUUGCUCCUCCGAUCAGUGGCGAACGGGUGAGUAACACGUGAGUAACCUGCCCCAGACUCUGGAAUAACAGUUGGAAACGGCUGCUAAUACCGGAUACGAGACGGAGAGGCAUCUCUACCGUCUGGAAAGUUUUUCGGUCUGGGAUGGACUCGCGGCCUAUCAGCUUGUUGGUGAGGUAAUGGCUCACCAAGGCGACGACGGGUAGCCGGCCUGAGAGGGCGACCGGCCACACUGGGACUGAGACACGGCCCAGACUCCUACGGGAGGCAGCAGUGGGGAAUAUUGCACAAUGGGCGAAAGCCUGAUGCAGCAACGCCGCGUGAGGGAUGACAGCCUUCGGGUUGUAAACCUCUUUCAGUAGGGAAGAAGCGAAAGUGACGGUACCUACAGAAGAAGCACCGGCUAACUACGUGCCAGCAGCCGCGGUAAU